rnacentral:tRNA from 1 species
GACAGUUUGGCCGAGUGGUCUAAGGCGUUAUAUUUAGGCUCUGUUCCUAAAUGACGUGGUUUCAAAUCCCACAGCUGGUC